UAUUUAUUCCAGCUCUACGAGUUUCCCUCUGCUGGCUGUUGUUGGAACAAUGGAAAGACAAACCAAGGAUUCGGUCCGUGGUGAGGCGGGAGAGAGGGUGGCAGCGACCUUGGACCGCCAUACUGGCCCCUGACCCCUUCGACUUCGACUGGCACCUCAUCACACUUGUACAUUCAGACGGCAGCUCAUAACCGCAGCAGUCUAAUUGCCGGGGAGGUUCUCAGCAGGAGUGUGGCAGGCCUCUGGCAUUCCCAUUCCUGGCAAAGCUGUGUGCCAGUACUGCCGCAGUGCCAGCCCGCCCUGCCCUGCAUCCACGCCAGGGGUCUCAUGACCCAAAAGGAUCCCCCAUGAUGGGCACUCCCCAUAAGGCCUCUUUGGAAACGGAUGGGAAACCCCAGGGAAGCAGCAGAAAGGUUGAAAAGGUCGUAUUAGUGGCAUGUAUACGCGUGUAGUGCACUCUCUCCUUUUCUCUCUCUCUCUCAUAGUCACACACACACACACAGCAUAAUAUAGCUAUAAUCAGUGUUAGGACUUUGUUUCUUUUUAAUAAUAAUAAAAAAAUACUAUUCCGUACUGUAUUUUCAUCUUCAAUAUUAUAUCAAACAUGAUUUAUGAUGAAUAAAAAAUGGUGCCAAUAUAAAAAUCAAGUCAUACACAAGAACAAGGAGAGAAGAGCAGAGUCAGUAGACAAAUCAGCAAAAUGUUUUUCUUCUUUUUAAGAGGGAACAAAACCAGUUUAAGAUUUAACAGCCCUCCAAUCCAUACCUGAGUAGAUUGAGUCAGAGCUGCAGGCGACUAUAGAAGCACACCUGGUUUUUAUGGCUAGUUGAGCGUCUCCUGUCCCCACAUGCAUUAUAUCAAUGACUCAUGUCAUAGCACGGGGACCUGUUCUAUAAAAUCUGUAGCUGCUGAAGUAGGUGAGUCAAAAACAUACCCAGAGAUGGGUCUCUAAUCUGUGCAAGUGGGUUAAAAAUCUCUGCAAACUGUAGUUUGACUCUAAAGUCUAUGUGAGAGUGUGCAGUGAUUAUAAUGUUCAUAAUAUUUGUUUCCAAUUCUCAAAACUGUUAAAAAAUUACUAACUCAACAAGGUUUAAAGUCUU